rnacentral:rRNA from 1 species
ACACAUGCAAGUCGAACGGCAGCGGGGGAGCUUGCUCCCGCCGGCGAGUGGCGAACGGGUGAGGAAUGCGUCGGGACGCGCCGAUCAGAGGGGGAUAACUGCCUGAAAGGGUGGCUAAUACCGCAUAUUCUCUGAGGAGGAAAGCGGGGGACCGCAAGGCCUCGCGCUGAUUGAGCGGCCGACGCCGGAUUAGCUWGUUGGCGGGGUAAAGGCCCACCAAGGCGAUGAUCCGUAGCGGGUCUGAGAGGAUGAUCCGCCACAUUGGGACUGAGACACGGCCCAGACUCCUACGGGAGGCAGCAGUGGGGAAUAUUGGACAAUGGGGGCAACCCUGAUCCAGCCAUGCCGCGUGUCUGAAGAAGGCCUUCGGGUCGUAAAGGACUUUUGCCGGGGAAGAAAAGGCGGGGCGGACAAUGCCCCGCCGUGAC